ACGAGUUUGAUCCUGGCUCAGAAUGAACGUUGGCGGCGUGGAUUAGGCAUGCAAGUCGAGCGCUCAUAGCAAUAUGGGAGCGGCGAACGGCGUAGUAAUGCAUCGGAACGUACCCUUCGGUCGGGGAUAGCCACGGGAAACUGUGGGUAAUACCCGAUGAUAUCUGCGGAUCAAAGGUGAGAUUCCGCCGGAGGAGCGGCUGAUGUGAUAUUAGCUUGAUGGUGGGGUAAUGGCCUACCAUGGCGAUGAUGUCUAGGGGGUGUGAGAGCAUGGCCCCCCACGACCGGAACUGAGACACUGUCCGGACACCUACGGGUGGCUGCAGUCGAGAAUCUUCCGCAAUGGACGAAAGUCUGACGGAGCGACGCCGCGUGCGGGAUGAAGGCCCUUGGGUUGUAAACCGCUGUCAGAGGGGAUGAAAUCUCCGGGGGUACUCCCCCGGAGUUGACAGAGCCUCAAAGGAAGCACGGGCUAAGUACGUG
rnacentral:rRNA from 1 species